CGGAGCGUAGCGCAGUUGGCUUAGCGCACUUGAAUGGGGUUCAAGAGGUCGUGAGUUCAAUUCUCACCGCUCCGA
rnacentral:tRNA from 1 species